GGGAAGGUGGCCUUCAGAGAGGGACUGUGGUCAAACCCUGCCUUGGAAUUAGGCUGCAGUGGACUUGUAAAAUUGAUUAUAUACUGAAAAUCAAGGGAAGUACAUCAAGGCAAUAGACUUGAUAAAAGUACAUGGAAGGAAUGAAGAGUCUCAAGAAAACACUGUAUCUGCAAAUACAAGGAUGCUCCUUGGCUGAAAAACAGUGCCUAUUUAUGAGAAGAGGAAGUUUCAGAGACUUUUUGGAUGACUAAGACUCGAGAAACCUCUGGACUGUGUGGCUCCCUGAGUUGCUCCACAUGAAACAUCUACAGAUAUGGUAUUCAGAGGGUGGCAGCACAGAGGACACAUGGAAAAGACAGGGUUACAAUACAAUGUCUUCCCACCUAGUGGGUGGGUGCUGGCCUGAGGUUCAGCUAACUGAACAAGAUACACAAAGCAAAACUUCCAGACAUGGGAAAUUGCUGGCUAUGCUGGAUAUCUGUGAGAAGCUGAGUGCCAUGAGCACUGGCUGGACUUCACAGUUUGCUAAAGAGAAGGUAUAUGAGACAGCCGGACUUGACAAAUGA
rnacentral:lncRNA from 1 species